rnacentral:rRNA from 1 species
GAUGAACGCUGGCGGCGUGCCUAACACAUGCAAGUCGAGCGAGAAGUAAAGAAAUGAAGCUUCGGUAGAUUUUCAUUAUGGAAAGCGGCGGACGGGUGAGUAACGCGUAGGCAACCUGCCCUGUACAGGGGGAUAGCCACCCGAAAAGGUGAUUAAUACCCCAUGAUGCAAGAGAUACACAUGUAUCACUUGUCAAAGAUUUAUCGGUAUGGGAUGGGCCUGCGUCUGAUUAGCUAGUUGGUAGGGUAACGGCUUACCAAGGCAACGAUCAGUAGCCGACCUGAGAGGGUGAUCGGCCACAUUGGAACUGAGACACGGUCCAAACUCCUACGGGAGGCAGCAGUGGGGAAUAUUGCACAAUGGGGGAAACCCUGAUGCAGCAACGCCGCGUGAAGGAAGAAGGCCUUCGGGUUG